rnacentral:rRNA from 1 species
GAUGAACGCUAGCUACAGGCUUAACACUUGCAAGUCGAGGGGUAACAAGAGGAAAGCUUGCUUUUCUUGUUGACGACCGGCGCACGGGUGAGUAACGCGUAUCCAACCUGCCUAUAACUAGGGAAUAACCUUGCGAAAGUAAGACUAAUACCCUAUGAUUUCCUUUGAUGACAUCAGAUUAGGAAUAAAGAUUUAUCGGUUAUAGAUGGGGAUGCGUCUGAUUAGCUUGUUGGCGGGGUAACGGCCCACCAAGGCAACGAUCAGUAGGGGUUCUGAGAGGAAGGUCCCCCACAUUGGGACUGAGACACGGUCCAAACUCCUACGGGAGGCAGCAGUGAGGAAUAUUGGUCAAUGGGCGGAAGCCUGAACCAGCCAAGUAGCGUGCAGGAUGACGGCCCUAUGGGUUGUAAACUGCUUUUAUACAGGAAUAAAGUUAGCCACGUGUGGUUAUUUGUAGGUACUGUAUGAAUAAGGACCGGCUAAUUCCGUGCCAGCCGCCGCAGUAAGAC